rnacentral:rRNA from 1 species
AUUGAACGCUGGCGGCAGGCUUAACACAUGCAAGUCGAGCGGGGUGAUGGUGCUUGCACUAUCACUUAGCGGCGGACGGGUGAGUAAUGCUUAGGAAUCUGCCUAUUAGUGGGGGACAACAUCUCGAAAGGGAUGCUAAUACCGCAUACGUCCUACGGGAGAAAGCAGGGGAUCACUUGUGACCUUGCGCUAAUAGAUGAGCCUAAGUCGGAUUAGCUAGUUGGUGGGGUAAAGGCCUACUAAGGCGACGAUCUGUAGCGGGUCUGAGAGGAUGAUCCGCCACACUGGGACUGAGACACGGCCCAGACUCCUACGGGAGGCAGCAGUGGGGAAUAUUGGACAAUGGGGGGAACCCUGAUCCAGCCAUGCCGCGUGUGUGAAGAAGGCCUUAUGGUUGUAAAGCACUUUAAGCGAGGAGGAGGCUCUUUUGGUUAAUACCCAAGAUGAGUGGACGUUACUCGCAGAAUAAGCACCGGCUAACUCUGUGCCAGCAGCCGCGGUAACAC